GACGAACGCUGGCGGCGUGCCUAAUACAUGCAAGUCGAACGCAGUGGGGACGGGUGAGUAACACGUGGGUAACCUCCCAUCAGAGGGGAUAACACUUGGAAACAGGUGCUAAACCGAUACUGAUGGAUGGACCCGCGGUGCAUUAGCUAGUUGGUGAGGUAACGGCUAACCAAGGCCACGUUGCGUACCCGACCUGGUAGGGUGACGGGCCACACUGGGACGGGAACAGGGCCAAGACUCCUACGGGAGGAAGCAGUAGGGAAGCUUCGGCAAUGGACGAAAGUCUGACCGAGCAACGCCGCGUGAGUGAAGAAGGUUUUCGGAUCGUAAAACUCUGUUGUUAGAGAAGCGGUAUCUAACCAGAAAGCCACGGCUAACUACGUGCCAGCCGCCGCGGUAAUAC
rnacentral:rRNA from 1 species